GAGGAAGCCACCGGGGCGAGAGGCGGCAGCGGCAGCGGCUGUGACGCGUCACAGCUGCCGCGGUCGCUCUGAGAGAAUGACAGAGGGAGCGCGGGGCGCUUUGCGUGGCUUCGCCUGGCAGGCUCAGCGUCCCAAUUAGCUCCCCGUAAACAAAGGAGGAAGUUUUGCCGCGGCGCUCGCGCUCUCCUUCCUCACCUCCCCGCCACCCUCACAUCUUCACCGCCACCUCCACCAGCGCAGCCCAGCGAGAGCUUCCUCUCCCCCCUUUUUUCUGCUAGCAGAUAAGAGGCGUUCAGAAGUGGCGCAGCCCCCGCUCUGAUAGCGCGAGGUGUCACCAAUGAAAGGCAGCGUCCCCGCUGAAUACGCUCGCGUGGAUGAAAGAGCAACAACACGUCCUCCUCCCCCUGCCUUUGAAGGCGUAAACCCAACCGUGACAGGCAGCUGCUAAGAGGCCUUUCUGACCCACCGCUGAACACGGCCGGAUCUUCAGCAGCGAAGGUUCCAGUUAACCACGGACUCCUCUCUCCAUGUCGACUGAUUGCAUCAUCGGCUCGCCGCUGGCGUGAAAGUGGCUGAGUGAGAAAGUACAGGAUGUCUUUAUUGCUGUGGAGAGGGAAACCUUCUCCAACCGUCUCCACCUGCACUUAUCACUCGCUGAGCAGAAAAUUCACUGAAAGUUCCCUGUCUAACUGGCGUGCAUUCCUGUUGGAGAAAUCAUAAACUAAGCCUUCUAAACCUGCCUUCCACUGACCUAAAGAAGGAGGAAUGUCUCGGAACCAUCAGCAGAUCAUUUUCCUCACCGGCCAACCUCACGCGCCUUUCUUAAUUUGAUUGGCAUGUUCUAUUUAUUACCAUGCAACUGGGAUUUUAUCCGCUAUUUGCUUCCAGAUCAGCCUAUACGGAGAGGGAAGAGAGGCUCCCCUGUGGUAGUGGUGAUGUCACCAGUGCAGAGUAAAUACCCAAAGUGCAUCAUGUUAAAGUGGAAGAAAUGGAAAGGAUGUUUGUUUGGUGUGAAGAGGCGCGACGCUCAAACCGGCCACUCAUCAGGAGAAACUAGACUUACAAAUCUGCUCACAAAAAAACACUAAAAGCCAACUUUGGUUUUGAAGGCCAGUUAGGUGUACUUUUUUAGAGUGCUGAUUAUUUUUAAUGACACAAAUCACGGGGUGACAUUUUCAGAUAUGUCAUUUUUUUAAAUUUCAAUCACAACCUCUCUUUGGGGUUGACUGAUGAAUCACAGCAACCUUUUCUCCCUCCGAAUUCAUUUGUAUCUCUUUGGAGUAAGAGCCUUGCUGCAGCUGUCUGUGCCGUGUGAGGGUGGGGGGGGGGCAGAAGCUGGGGGAGAACAGCUCGAAAAUGGCUUCUCUCGGUGGCAGCGUAUCACCAUCUAAAUCUCUCCCCCCACAUCGGGGGAGCAGAGCUGUGACUACUGGGAUUAGGCUAAUCACACAUUCACCCAGGAGGCUGCACACACAGGAGAUCCUGCGUAAGGCAUGACCUUAUUUCAGACGGGUUUCUAUAGACGCUCUUUUGCUGGCAUCUCGAAGCCAAUGCUUAUGCUGAGAUUUACUUAUUGGGGCUGCGCUUUAUUCCAGUUUGUCCCUUUACGCUGCAUUUUACACUUCAUUGACACGCAAACAUCCUUUUAUGAGCCGAUUCUUUUUUUUUUUUUUCACUACAUUAUUACAACUCACAAAUUGGUGUAUGUGAAAAAUAACUGUGCUCACAUAAGAUUCUCAAUUAAAUUGCGUCAUGUUUUUAAUAUUGUACAUUCUGUUAAAAUGAUUUGUAUUGAUAUUAUUAUGUG
ensembl:lncRNA